rnacentral:rRNA from 1 species
UACGUAGGGGGCAAGCGUUAUCCGGAUUUACUGGGUGUAAAGGGGGCGCAGACGGCGAUGCAAGCCAGGAGUGAAAGCCCGGGGCCCAACCCCGGGACUGCUCUUGGAAUUGCGUGGCUGGGGUGCAGGAGGGGCAGGCGGAAUUCCUGGUGUAGCGGUGAAAUGCGUAGAUAUCAGGAGGAACACCGGUGGCGAAGGCGGCCUGCUGGACUGCAACUGACGUUGAGGCCCGAAAGCGUGGGGAGCAAACAGG